rnacentral:rRNA from 1 species
UACGGAGGAUCCGAGCGUUAUCCGGAUUUAUUGGGUUUAAAGGGUGCGCAGGCGGGAGAUUAAGUCGGCGGUGAAAUUUUGCAGCUCAACUGUAAAAGUGCCUUCGAAACUGGUUUCCUUGAGUGUAGAUGAAGUAGGCGGAAUUUGUGGUGUAGCGGUGAAAUGCAUAGAUAUCACGAGGAACUCCGAUUGCUAAGGCAGCUUACUAAGCCAUAACUGACGCUCAAGCACGAAGGCGUGGGGAUCAAACAGGAUUAGAUACCCGGGUAGU